CCUCUUGAAGAUGAAGAACUGAUCGCUUACCUACUACGUGGUCUCAGAAGUGAAUACGAUGCAUUGGUGACGAGCAUCACCACCCGCGCUGACUCCUACACCGUCAGCGACAUAUACGCCCACAUGUUCAGCUUCGAGA